UGCAUUCAUAUGGGGUAUUCUGCCCCCUAGUGUUUUUCCAUGGCUCUUGGUGAGGUUUGGCUCAAAUACUGCAUCUUUUGCUUGAUCUGUUACAGGAGUUACACUUUUGAGUUGCGAUAUAAAUUUUGGAAAGGGGCCAGGUUCUUGGUGCUUAGGGUAACCAGAAGACCUCAGUAGUUAGGUGUAAAGUAACCCUUCACUAGAAUUAAGCCUGUAUGACAAAAUGGACAGCUAGAGGUAUGCAAAGUGUGGCAUUUGCGUACAUUCUAUAAAAUGUGAAAGAUGCCACAUGCCUGCUGAUAAAAAUUUAACUCUGGCGCACAGGCAAUACUGCUCAUCCAAACUUUGUCCCAUUUUAAUUAAAACUCCCUAACCUCCUCCACAUUUUAUAUUGGCACUCUUUUUUAUAUAAAUUGACCUUGUUACACCCGUGGCUUUUUAAGCAGACAACAGGUCCUGUUACUUCCUGGUUUGAUUUGCUCAAUGGAGCUAAACUCGAGGCAGCAAUUGCCCAGAGCCCCUACCUUUUCAUUGAACUGUAUCGGGAAGCCUAUGAUUGGACAUCCACAGAAAGUCUGAGGUGGAUUAGAAGGGGAAGGUGUGCAAAAGCAGUAGACGAGAACUGCAACAUUUGCAAGCUGUUUUUAAAUAUGCCCACAAUAAAGAAAUGCAUAACGAAAUACCUGUUGGGGUGUAUCUACUAAAUAUUUUUUUUUGUAUAUCUGGACAGUGGAGUGUCCCUUCAAAUAUAAAUUGCAUUCAGACUGCACAUCCCAAAAUGCUCUGUGUAGUCCUGACUGUGUUUUAGUCACAAAACUAUUCCAACUUUGACCAAAAUAACCAACUUUAGAAAUUCAUCAAGUUUUAUGUCUGCUCUGUAGAUAACUUCCAGCUUUUCGUUUAUUCACAUGCAGUAUAUUUUGAUGUUCAAUGAAACCAUUAGGUAUCCAUCUGGCUGCCUUCCAUAUUGCUGCAGUUGCAUAUGCAUCUUAUGUUGGUGUAUAUCCCAUCAUUUUUAAGAAAUGCUCAGAAGCUUGAUCGGGUGUUGACUAAAUACUGUUGACACAUGCAAUGUAAUUUUGUGU
rnacentral:lncRNA from 1 species